UACGUAGGGUGCGAGCGUUGUCCGGAAUUAUUGGGCGUAAAGAGCUCGUAGGCGGUCUGUCGCGUCUGCUGUGAAAUCCCGAGGCUCAACCUCGGGCUUGCAGUGGGUACGGGCAGGCUAGAGUGCGGUAGGGGAGGGUGGAACUCCUGGUGUAGCGGUGAAAUGCGCAGAUAUCAGGAGGAACACCGGUGGCGAAGGCGGGCCUCUGGGCAACAACUGACGCUGAGGAGCGAAAGCGUGGGGAGCGAAUGGG
rnacentral:rRNA from 1 species